rnacentral:rRNA from 1 species
UAAAGAUUCAUCGCUGAUAGAUAGGCAUGCGUUCCAUUAGGCAGUUGGCGGGGUAACGGCCCACCAAACCGACGAUGGAUAGGGGUUCUGAGAGGAAGGUCCCCCACAUUGGUACUGAGACACGGACCAAACUCCUACGGGAGGCAGCAGUGAGGAAUAUUGGUCAAUGGGCGUAAGCCUGAACCAGCCAAGUCGCGUGAGGGAUGAAGGUUCUAUGGAUCGUAAACCUCUUUUAUAAGGGAAUAAAGUGUGGGACGUGUCCUGUUUUGUAUGUACCUUAUGAAUAAGGAUCGGCUAACUCCGUGCCAGCAGCCGCGGUAAUACGGAGGAUCCGAGCGUUAUCCGGAUUUAUUGGGUUUAAAGGGUGCGUAGGCGGCCUUUUAAGUCAGCGGUGAAAGUCUGUGGCUCAACCAUAGAAUUGCCGUUGAAACUGGGAGGCUUGAGUAUGUUUGAGGCAGGCGGAAUGCGUGGUGUAGCGGUGAAAUGCUUAGAUAUUACGCAGAACCCCGAUUGCGAAGGCAGCCUGCCAAGCCAUGACUGACGCUGAUGCACGAAAGCGUGGGGAUCAAACAGGAUUAGAUACCCUGGUAGUCCACGCAGUAAACGAUGAUCACUAGCUGUUUGCGAUACACAGUAA